CUUCCAUGUAGAUAAAGGAGGUCAUCCAGCUCACUUCCGUUUUUUUUUUUUUUUUAAGUUUUAGGGGAAUUCUUUUCUGAGGAGGGUAAAGGAAAAGAGGAGCUAUAUUAUAACUUGACAACAUGGUUAUUGUGGGGAAUAUGUUGUGCAACCAAAAAGAAAUGAACCAAAAAGAAAUGAAGUGUUGAUGAACAGCAGUCAGUGACCAACUGAAACUGAUAUACGUCUGUAGGGUGCCUGAUUUUCAGGUUCAUAAUUCUCCUUAUAACACAGGAAGCAAGUGCAGAGAAGGUUGAGUAGUAGUAGGUCCAAGAAGAGGUAAGGUCCCUGCCCUCAAAAAGUUAAUAGUUUCAUUUACAAAUUAGAAUGAUCUAUCUCAAAGCCCCUUAGUUUCUAAGCUCCUUGCAGACCUGAAUAACCUAGUUCCCAUAUAUCUUAUUGAAUCCUUAUUUUUCAGAUUGUCUUCUAGUACCUACCUCAUAGAAUAUGCAUAGAAUAUGUAUUGGUUAAAAUAAAUGGGCAGUGUGAUAUCACAUGCUAAAGAGAAAGACUGUGCUUUUAUUCUUACUCUGGUUAACAGUACACAAGUCAUCUUACUUCACAGAGAAGUACAGUGGUCUUUUCUCCAGAAAUAAAUAGGCAAGAAGAGAUUGUGGAGUGAAAUACUUAAAGUGUGGGAAAAACCAACCAGAAUCACCAACAGAGAAUUCUACAUCCAGCAAAAUUAUCCUUUAAAAAUAAAGGAGAAAUAAAAACUUUCUGAGACAGAACCACAACUACAACACACAUGGGGACUUGUCACAAGUAUUCUUACCUUGAAGGAAAUAUUCAAAGAAAUGUGAUUUCUAAAGUUUCCAGUUUGUGUCUUAUCUUUUUAUUUUUUUAAUUGUAUUUUAACACAUUUUUAUUGGUUUGGAUAUUUUGCUCCCAAAGCUUGAUAUCAAAAUAUAUGAUACUUUGAAUAUUUAUGGAAAUAGUAUCUCUGGAAAGAAAAAACAUUUUAAGUUAAGCUUAUUCAAAAUCUUCGAUAGGUUAUGUUCUUUUGUAUUCAAAGUAAGUCCCAAAACAUAAACUUUGGACUUUAUUUUUACAUAAAAGGUAUAUGCCCUCCUUAAGUAGAUACAGUGGUGUUAGGAGUAAUACCUGACCUUUCAAAUUCAAUUAAUGACUCAGCACCUGGGGGAAUAUUCCUAAUUAUUUUUGCUGUGUUUUUGUAACAUCCUCUAAGGUUCCUUGUCAAGAGAAACAGAUCACCUUUCCCUGCAUGGGGCAUCAAAAGUUACUAAAGAGACCACUGCUGUAGUUUCUUUAAGCUUCAUCUCUUGGACUGUUAUUAGUUUGGCACAGGACACUGUGUAAAUUAUAUACAUGUAUACACUCCCAAAUCACUUCCUGGUUUGAAAAUGGAAUCUAUGAAUUGGCUUCUGUGUCUGUUUUAAGAGCUAUUACCAUGGUGAUGAAUAGUCUGCUUAGUUUUAUGGUUGGCAUGAUUCUUCCAGGUUGGGUCACCUGUGUGUGUUUUUUUUUUUUUUUUUCUUUUACUACCAGUUGCCCACACUUCGGGCAACAGUUAAAUUUCCAUCAUUAAAAAAGCAAGUAGUUAGAAUGCAAAACUAGUGAUUUAGUAGAAUUAGCUGCAUCAAUGCUUUUAAUCUGUUGAUUAUUUCUUUUCAGCGUUAACUGGCAGGAGCUUACGCCUUUCACACAGCUUUAACCCUUCUCUUUGCAAUUAGUACUGGUGGGGAAUCAUUAUCCUGUACUGCAGUUAUAAAUUUAUCGUCAUUUGCUGAAGCAUUAUGGGGAAGAGAGAGGAAAACUGACAAAACGUAAUAAAACAUAAUAAAGGAAACUAGACUUACCCAUUCUUGAUUUUAAUGAGUCAACGUUUCAGGUACUUUGCUUUACUGUUUUAUGUAAGCUGAGGCAAUGGGUUAGUUGCCUUAACCUUAAACCUGGCAUUCCCAUGGAGGCUCAGUGGGUUAAAGAUCUGGUGUGGCAGUAACUGUGGCUCGGUUUGAUCCCUGGCCCGGGAACUUCUGAAUGCCACAGGUGUGGCCAAAAAAGAAAACAAACAAAAAACCACCUUAAACCUGUCUGUUAUCUACAAACAUUAAAAGAAACAUUGUACAUAUAUACAAUGGAAUACUACUCAGCCAUAAAAAAGAAUGAAAUAAUGCCAUUUGUAGCAACAUGGAUGCAACUAGAGAUUAUCAUACUAAGUGAAGGAAGGAAGGAAGAAAAAGGCAUAUACCAUAUGGUAUCACUUAUAUGUAGAAUCUAAAAUAGAGCACAAAUGAACCUAUCUACAAAAUAGAAACAGACUCAUAGAUGGAAAACAGACUUGUGACUGCCAAGGGGGAGGGGGAUGGAAUGGGAAGGACUGGGAAUUUGGGGUUAGAAGAUGCAAACUAUUACAUUAAGAGUGGUCCUACUGUGUAGCACAGGGAACUGUAUCCAAUUUCCUGGGAUAUACCAUGAUGGAAGAUAACAUAACAAAAUGAACAUAUAUAUUUGUAUGACUGAGUCACUUUGUUUUACAGCAGAAAUUGGCACAACAUUAUAAAUCAACUAUAAUUUAAAAAAAUAAAAAAUAAAUGUUAAGGUUUUUCAGUUUAAAAUGUUCACAGGAAUGAGGAGGGGUAAACACAAGCAAAACAAUGAAAUUGGGGUAAUAAAAUGAGUUAUAGAUUUGGAGAUAUAUACUGUAUGCCAAAUGAUCAGACUGGAUAUAAUGAGAACUUCUUAUUUGGGAUUGCAGCAAAGCCAGCUCUGUAUAGUCCUAGAUGUUUAGAAAUUAAGUCAGCCAGGAAAAUAAUCAGAACCCCAGAUGCCACAGGCCUUGUGAGAAAUUUAAACAGUGAAACUGUAGUUACUUCUGUAUAACUCAGAUUUAACUAUAACAAGCUAAUACAAUUUCCUGAGUAGAAUGAUGAUUUAAAAGAGCUAGUGAAUUUCAAACCCUGGGAAAAUACCACUUACUGAAUUAUAAUCAUUCCGAUCUAGUUAAUAAUUUAAAUCUAAGGAGUCAUAUGCAAUAAAGCUUCAUUUAGUUCAGUUCUAGUUAUGCUACGUCUUCUCUAACUCGUAACUCUCAGUAAUAAUCAAAAUGGUUUUCCAAAGCGAAGAGAUUAUCCCCUCUGUCUUUUACUUCUACUUCAUUAAGAAAACUCAUAAUAAUCGUUCUGCUUCUAAAAUGACUGUAUGAUUUCAUUUAUACCUAGUACAGUACAUGCUUCAUAAUAGGCAGUCAGUAAAUCUUUAUUCAUUCUUUCAGGAGGCAAAGGAAGGCAGGAAACUCAUUACCAACCUACACUAAAUGAAUGAAUGAGUGAAUAAGAAAGAAACAGCUAUAGAUUGUCACUUCAAAACCUGCCUCUUAUUGCCGUCUCACUCAUUUGGGGAAUGCCCACGGUGUCAUGAAUAUCUCUAACAAGAAAGCAUUCUGUAUAUAUAUCUUCACUCUGCCAUCGUUCCAUAGACAUCCAAGCUUUUGACAAAACCUGGCCUUUCCCUUUUGACGAUUUUUCAUAAAUCCACCUGGGAUUUAUCGCUACAGAACUUAGUGGGUCUAGUUUUCUUACUUGGACUUUGGCACAUAUUUGAAUCACCUGGAGAAGCCUGCAGCAUUCGCAAGGUGAUUGUGAGUUUUCUUCUCUGCCAACCACAGGGACUGAAUUUUAUACCCUGCAGAUAAACACGAAAUUCUCAGCCUCCUCCCCAGAUCCCAUCACGCUGUCCUCCUUGACAAUAAUUAUCCAUCUUGCUUCUUGCUGGUUUUCUGUGUGUUUCUUGUUCCUCAGCUUGUCUUUCAUUGGAAAGAAACACUUAAUCCUGCUUGCUCUAUCAGGCGCUUUAGUUUCUGUUGUGAAACCAUGUUCAGGUAUUAGCUCCCCGCAAAGCCUUUCUAACCUUCCUGGAAGAGAAGUGGCAGUAUGCUUCCCAAAACCUUUUUGUCUGUUUAUUCAGUUUUUAUGACUCAUUCCUUCCUAGCCAUCAUAUUAAAGUCCUUGGAUCCUUUAGUUGUACUUAAGUAUGAUUUUAUUAGUUUUAUGCUGUGUUUAAUGUUCAUGUAUGUAUCUAUGCUACUUGUAUGCUUUUAGUGUGUGUAUCUCUAUCUGUAAUAUAGGGUAACCCAAAGGGCCAAUGCUUCAUCUUAUUUAUGAGCCAAUCAGCAAACUUGCAUGAGAAAAAUUUCAACAAAGGCUUAAUUUCAACACACACCUAAUAAAUGUGUACUAAAUACUUGUUUAUUGACAGAGCUUAUGAAUUUUUAAAAUUCAUACUUUUACCUAAUUCAUAUAUUUUCCCUCAUCUAUCUUUCUGUUCUUUGGUGAUGAAUCAGGGCUGUUGUAAUGAGAUUUCCGCGGGCCUCAUGUUCAAGGUCAGUACUGAGUAGUGGGUGAGUCAUUGUAUGACUAAGAGUCAUUGGUGUAACCCGAUUGUAUAAUUUUUGAUAGGGUAACAAAAGUAUGGGAAUUAAGAAGAAUAAAGGAAGUGUAAGUACUGCAUAGGCUACAUAUUGUGCAUACAUACACUCUAUCUGAGAGUGACUUCAGGCAGUGCAAAGUUAGUGGUGUGAGAUAAAGUGUGUUGCUGCUGUAAUAACUGACAGCCCCCACAAAUGAAUAGGAAACUGGCUUAGAGAGCUAGCAGGUGAGUAUCAGAUCUUUCUGGCUUAUCCUGAUUGGCAUGGAUCUGAGGGCUCAUGGUGUCCUAAUGGCCUGCAGAAUACUCUUUGCUCUGAAGUGUACAAAGUGGAUUAAAAAAAAAAAAAGUGUUCCCAUCAGGAUGCCUGGGAAUGAGUGGUCUUUUGUAGGUAUUGAAUUUUAUGUCGUCGUUAAAUGAAUCAACAUGACAUAAAGAAGUAUCAUUAUUUUCAUGCAUUUUAUACUAUUUUAAUUGGGACUGGGACCUUGUACAUGUAGCUUUCACAAAUAAAGCAGGAUCCAUUACUUGCAGAUCCUGAGAUGUCUGUAGACAGGCUCCCUAACAAAAUGGAGCAAUGCCAAGAGAGUUGGUGUGGAAGUUAUACAUUACGUAUGUGUCCUUCUAAAAGAUCCAUGUAAAAACUACUUAGAAAUCCACAUAAGCAACUAUAUAAUAGAUACUUAUUAUGCCAUAGCAGCAAAACUUUAAAAUAGAAUUAUACCUGAUUUGAAUGAAUUUUUAUAUUUAAAGACAGAAAACACAUGAUAAAAUUAAAUUCAUAUUUAGAAAAUCCACCUUAUUCUUUCUGAAUCAUAGUCUUCUCUAGAAUGUUGAAGUCAUUCAAGGGAAAUUUGGGUGGUAUUUGAAACAUACCAUGUAUGUAAAACAUACAGUUUAUCCUGGGACGCUGAGAUGAGGAUUGGAUUUUGACAUCAAGUUCCCAAAGUGGAGUUUCCACUGUGGCUCAGUAUGUUAAGAACCCGACUAGUCUCCAUGAGGAUGACGGUUCAGUCCCCAGCCUUGCUUGGUGGGUUAAGGAUCCAUUGUUGGCACAAGCUAUGGUGUAGGUCGUGGAUGUGGCUCAUAUCCAGUGUUGCCAAGGCUGUGGUGUAGACCAGCAGCUGCAGCUGCGAUUUGACCCCCUAGCCUGGGAACUUUCAUAUGCUGCAGGUGUGGCUGUAAAAAGGGGAGGGGGGUGGAAGCCUAAAAGUUUCUGUUAUGUCAAUGAAUACCAUGAUGCCCCAAAUCAAUAAGAAAUAAUGACCUCAGGCACCUUCACAUAAAUAAAAUGAGGCUUUCAUACCAGCACAGUCAACGUAUUGGUAUAUUGAAAUUUAAUUGUUUUCUCAAUGAAAAUUAAGGUGUGCCCUCUUUGGAAUGAGAGAGAUAGCAUUAGGUUAAUGUAUUAGCUUUAUCCUCUGAAGUACAAAAUGACCUUAACUUGGGAGUUGGUCAAAAAAGGCAUUUCUAGGUUUUGAAUGAAAUAUAAUUAGAAUAAUCUAGGCAGGUGUAAAGAAAGGAUUACCGCAUGCAUCAGAUUUAUAAAAAGAAACAGAUGCAGCUUUUUAAUUUAGGGGUAAUGUCUGAUAUUAUUGAGAAUACGGAAAGAUUUAAUCUAUCUUUUUAAAAAAGGUAUAGAUAUAGAAUAGGGUUUACAUUAUAAUUUUUAAGUUAGAGCUUGACAUUGAAAACAUAUUUGUAUGCUUAUGUUGGUCUAGAGGAAAAAUCUUAAUGCCUGUUUAUGCCUUAUGCAUACACAAUAAAAAAAUCCAUGCUAAUAACUUACAGGAUGAAUCCUAUAGGUCUAAAAUGAUCAAGAAAAUUUUAAGAAGUUAUGUGGAAAUGGUUUUAAAGAGAAAUCAAUAUCACUGCUAAACUAAGAUGGGUGAAAAAAUUUUCCUCUGUCAAAUUGGAAUAGAUUUUUAAAAUUUUUUAUUUUUGCCUUCUUUAGCAUAAGUUUUAUUAUUAAUGUGCCAAUGGAAAAGGUUAUUCCUACCACUCUUCAGAUAAGAUGUAAGCUCUCAAGGGCCUGUACUUUUUUUUUUUUUUGAGUUAAAAAUAUUUUUUAUUAUAGUUGAUUUACAAUGUUCUGUCAGUUUCUGCUGUACAGUAAAGUGACCCAGUUAAACUGGAAUAGAUUUUUAAAACAAGUGAUAUGCUGGAGUUCCCACUGUGGCUCAGCGGGGUUGUGGCUCGGAUCCCGAGUUGCUGAGGCUGUGGGGUAGGCUGGCAGCUGCAGCUCAGAUUCAACCCCUAGCCCGGGAACUUCCAUAUGCCGAAGGUGCAGCCCUAAAAAGCAAACAAAAACAGAAACAAACAAAAAAACCCCAAAACAAACAAAAAAUGAUAUGCAGUGUUUUGGGAAAACAGGAAAAAAAAAAAACCCUAAUAAACUAAGCUAUUGGUAAGAGUGCUAAGUAUGAUGUCUGUGGACAUAGAGGAGGAAGAUGUUUUCUUUACCCCUCUUGGGGCCCCUGGCUGGAUCUGCACAUUAAACUGAAAAAAGAUUAAUAAGAGAAAUGUGUACACAAUUUUUUUUCUUUUUUGGCCACCCUGGGACAUAUGGACUUCCCAGGCCAGAGAUCAGAUCUGAGCCACAGUUCUGACCUAGGCAGCUGUGGCAGCGCUGGAUCCUUAAGCCGCUGUGCUGGGCCAGGGACUGAACUGGCAUCCCAGUGCUCCAGAGAUGCUGCUGAUCCUGUUGCACCACAGUGGGAUCUCCAGUCCAUGUUUAUUAAGUAAAAGUUUUAUGUGACAUGGCAGCUUUCAUGGGAAAUGAAGAAACCAUUAGACUUGAGUGUUUCUAUACUGAAUAUGAUGAAGCAUGGACAGUCGUGGAGGAAAAUAUGAUAAAGUGUAGGAAACUAGAGGACAUUUAGCAAGGCUUGUGUGUUCCGAUUCUUUUCAGCAUUCCUUUGUCCUCAGAGAGAAGGAAGCUCCUUUGCUCAGGGUAUAGGAAGGGCUGUACCUCACAUGAGGGUUUUAGGACCUUUGUCAGGUGAGAAAGUUUGGGGAAGGUCGGAGUGACCUUCGUGCUUCUGCUGUUUUCUCAGACUCCUUCACCUUAAAUCUUCAGUAUGCCAAGGUGCCAUAUCUUUGGGUAGUGUGUCCUGAACCUUGUCAUUCAUUCUGAAACUUCCCCAAGAUCUUUCAUAACCUAGCACUGAGAUAGUGUAGAUUGUCCAGUAACCCACGGAAACAGUCUCCCAGUCCUGGACAUUUCUAUGGCGACAAAAGAAAAAACAGGUUAAUGGUUAGAACAAACUGUGAACUUAGUUUUUAAGUCCAGAGGGCAAUUAGCUGAAAAUAUUUCUAGAUGUUGGACUCACUCCUCAGAUGGAGUGAGAGCAGACAGGGGCAAUCUCACUGCUUUGUGGUUAGUCUCUGGUGAUGUUUGGGGUCCACCUGGCAACAGCCAGGAAGGCUGUGCAUGAAUUGUGGUGAUUUCUCUGAAGUUUGCAUCAGGUUGCCCAGUUUUAGCUUGCAGGGCUUUGGGAAAGAGGCAGUUUUAAUUUUUAGUGAUUCCAAGUCAGAAGAGGGAGAGAAGAAUGGAAACAUUAAUUUGGAGAGUUGGAUCUAGAUAUUGGAGGAGCCUUGAAGAAUUCAGGAUCCGGUCCAGUCUACAGACGGAUAACAAAACCUCAAAGACAAUGAACAGGACAAGAAUUUAAUACCCACAGAGGUGUGCUAUACUUUUCCAUUGAAACAUAAUUUUUGCUUCUAUAGACACUUCCAUUUCCAUCAAAGAUAUUCUAAGUAAGACUAAUUUGUUUGCAAAAUAAGUCUAGUCUCAUUAAAAUUGGCCUGCUUAUUUAUAUCAGUUCAGCAAGAGUAGUGAUUGACCAUAUGCUCUUUUUAAGUCUACUUUGCUGGACUCACUUCUAAUAAGGAAUCUCAGAUUAGGCUUUAAGAAGUUCCCCAGUGGCACAGCGGGUUAAGGAUCCAGUGUCAUCACUGCUGUGGCUCGGGUUUGAUCCCUGACCCAGGAAUUUCUGCAUGCUGUGGACACAGCCAAAAAAAAAAAAAAAAAA
rnacentral:lncRNA from 1 species